AGGACGAACGCUGGCGGCGUGCCUAACACAUGCAAGUCGAACGGGGCCAGGGGCAACUCUGGUUCAGUGGCGGACGGGUGCGUAACACGUGAGGAACAUGUCUUUCGGUGGGGGAUAGCCGGCCCAACGGCCGGGUAAUACCGCAUACGCUGACCUGGGUGCAUACCCGGGUUCGGAAAGCAGCAAUGCGCCGAUUGAGUGCCUCGCGGCCUAUCAGCUAGUUGGUGAGGUAAUGGCUCACCAAGGCGACGACGGGUAGC
rnacentral:rRNA from 1 species